GGGUAAAAGCUGUUGAGAAGCCUUUUGGUCCUAGACCUGGCCCCCCGUGUAACUGACAAUUAAUCUCCAAUGAGUUCUCACGGAAGGUGAUAAUUCUGACUAAACUACAGAAUAAAGCCGCCAGUCAAAAUCAAGGAACGGUUGUGCUCGUGGUUACUGGAGGGAGCUACAGUGAGAACUCAGUGCUCUUCACGAGCAAGAGAGAAAGAAGAAUCUCAUCCAGCUGUAAAGUCUACAAGAUACCCAAAUCCUGGUAGGCCCUGUCAUCUGCCAGAUAAGAGUUUUGCACCUACCUGCAACCUAAGAAGAACAUCUCCACAUAAGGAAGCAUCGUGAGGCAACAUAAGGUCAAGGCUAACAGGAAAGUCAGACACGCAGGUACAAGUCAAAGCGUUUGAAGGUGGCCCUAGCCUUGUGAACUGCUAAUUAGAGACUUUAAGAUUACAAUUCGUAAGGACUGGAGAUAGUUGUGUAUUUCAUCAAGACGCUGGUAUUAUGCAUUUGCUCUUUCUUUCUUAAUGUAUCGUUAUUAUGUGUAUUACUGGAAAAAUAUUAUUU
rnacentral:lncRNA from 1 species